UACAGAGGGUGCAAGCGUUAAUCGGAAUUAUUGGGCGUAAAGGGCGCGUAGGUGGACUAGUGUGUCGGAUGUGAAAGCCCCAGGCUCAACCUGGGAAUGUCAUCCGAAACUGCUAAUCUAGAGUACAGUAGAGGGAAGUGGAAUUUCCGGUGUAGCGGUGGAAUGCAUAGAUAUCGGAAGGAACAUCAGUGGCGAAGGCG
rnacentral:rRNA from 1 species